AACUAUGUGCCAGCAGCUGCGGUAAUACAUAGGUCGCGAGCGUUAUUCGGAUUUAUUGGGCGUAAAGCAAGCGCAGGCGGAUAAGCAAGUUCUAUGUUAAAAGCAGUUGCUCAACAAUUGUUUGCGUCGAAUACUGUUUGUCUAGAAUACGGUAGGAAGUUUUGGAAUUGAAUAUGGAGCGGUGGAAUGUGUAGAUAUAUUCAAGAACACCAGAGGCGAAGGCGAAAACUUAGGCCGUUAUUGACGCUUAGGCUUGAAAGUGUGGGGAGCAAAUGGGAUUAGAUACCCCAGUAGUCCACACCGUAAACGAUGGAUAUUAGAUGUUGGGACUUGAGUCUCAGCGUUGUAGCUUACGUGUUAAAUAUCCCGCCUGGGUAGUACAUAUGCAAAUAUGAAACUCAAAGGAAUUGACGGGGACCUGAACAAGUGGUGGAACAUGUUGCUUAAUUCGAUAAUACACGAAAAACCUUACCAAGGUUUGACAUCCCUCGCAAAACCCUAGAAAUAGGGCGGAGGUUAUCGAGGUGACAGGUGGUGCAUGGUUGUCGUCAGCUCGUGUCGUGAGAUGUUUGGUUAAGUCCCGCAACGAGCGCAACCCUAUCUUUUAGUUAAAUGUCUAGAGGAACUGAACAGUAAUGUAUAGGAAGGGUGGGAUCACGUCAAAUCAUCAUGCCCCUUAUAUCUUGGGCCGCAAACGUGUUACAAUGGCGAGUACAGCGUGUCGCAAGCAAGCGAUUGUAAGCUAAUCACUAAAAACUCGUCUCAGUCCGAAUAAAAGGCUGCAAUUCGCCUUUUUGAAGUUGGAAUCACUAGUAAUCCCGUGUCAGCUAUAUCGGGGUGAAUACGUUCCCAGGUCUUGUAC
rnacentral:rRNA from 1 species